UACGUAGGCAGCAAGCGUUGUUCGGAAUUACUGGGCGUAAAGGGCUCGUAGGCGGCCAACUAAGUCAAACGUGAAAUCCCUCGGCUUAACCGGGGAACUGCGCUUGAUACUGGAUGGCUUGAGAUUGGGAGAGGGAUGCGGAAUUCCAGGUGUAGCGGUGAAAUGCGUAGAUAUCUGGAGGAACACCGGUGGCGAAGGCGGCAUCCUGGACCAACACUGACGCUGAGGAGCGAAAGCCAGGGGAGCAAACGGG
rnacentral:rRNA from 1 species